rnacentral:misc_RNA from 1 species
UAUGUACUAGGUUUCUUGCAUGUAGGUGCCAAUCUUCUCUUAGGCCAAGAUCACAGGUGGUGCUUUUUGUAGAAAAAUCACUAACCUCUUCUACGCUGUGGGGAUCUACUAUUUUUGCUAAUGGUAUCUUUUGGGGUUUAUAGCCGGCCUAAGUCCUCUUUCGGCUGACCUUCGGUUUAGUUACCAGAAAGCUCUGCAUCAACCCUCG